UAUGCGUCGUGUCGUAAUGCUCUGUUACUUUACGUGACUAGUUGUUCAAAGCGCAUCUUUGAUUUAAAUAUAAUUUAUUCAAAUAAUUAUUAUUUUAAUAAAUUCACUUUAUGAGAAACUAAGAGCCAAUAAACUGUACAACUACAACUUGACUAUGUGUUGUUUUAACGUACGAGCUCAUUUCUGAUUAAAUUGGCACAGACUAUUGUAAACAGAGUCGAAUUCAGAAUUUUUUUAUUCUAUAGGCGUUCUAGAUAUUAGUGCAAUCAGAAAAAUUUUUUUUUAAAAAUAAUAUCAUUAAAUUACUAUAAAAAGAGUGGGUUUUAACUUAAUAUUAAUUGAACAUUGCGUUAAUUUUCAACAAUAGUUGCAUUAUAGUAGUCCCCUGAUAGUUAGGAGGCUACCAAAAUUCCAAAAGGGCUUCAGCCUUAGUCACAAUUCAACUAUUAUCAUAACUGCUAAUUUACAUAAACAUUUUAAGUAUUUAUUUUCUAAGAAAAUUAUAUUAAUAUGUGCAACAAACAAAAGUUUUUUAUUUAUGUAUUUUUCUUUAUUCAUUAUAAUUAAAAAACAGAUUUAUUUUUUUUAACAACAUUAUGUAUGUAAUGUACAUAAUUACAUUAUGUAGUAUUCAUAUGUAAAUAUUUUAUGUUGAGAUUAUUGGGUUACAACUGAAGUUCUGAUAAAGAGAGUAUUAAAUUAUAAACUUAUAAAUAAUCUAUAAAAAUCAUUAUGUGAAGACGAAAUCAUAUUUCCCAAGUUUUUAUUUCUAUGAAUUAUUUUAAUAAAAUAAUUAACUGAUAUAAUUUCACGAGAUCUUAGUACGCUUAAAAGGAAACGGCUUUAAUUGAAAGCCCAUCAGAUAUUUUUGAAUAUUUGUAAGACUUAAAUUUAACAAUUAAGCGAAUGGUAAAUUUUUUUAAAAGCAAAGUCUUUGAAUAAUUCUUAUGCUCAUAAUUAAACUGUAAUCAGGAAGACUAUAAUAAAAUCUAAACAUUUUGGAGGAACAAUUAUUAUCCGAAGGUACUUCAUAAAAUAGUUUAUGUAAUUCAAACAUAAAACCUUUUAAAUUAAAAUAAGUACUUUAAGCUCUUCAAAGUGUAAUUGAAAAUAUUUAUUUCAACGCGGGUUAUGAACGGUGACAAUACAAGUAAAAGCUAAUGGGUUAAUUUUACGAUGCUGUGCCUUUCACAUGAAAAUUUUAAUAUUCAUACCGUAAGGUGCAACAUGGUACGAUUCAAUAGCAAGAGAUGGACCGACUUAUUGAUUAUUCAAGUUUAGAAAGUAAAAUAGUUUCGCGAAUUUGUACUACAGUCACAUAACAGUAUACCAUUUCUCAUGAAAUAUAAAAAAUAAAAUUAAUUUAAUGACAUUCAGUUUACUACAUUCAAAUUACUGGAAUAUUACAUUGCAUUAUAAGUUAUGUCUUCAGGACAACUAGAAAGUAAUAACUUUCAAUGAUAAAUUAGACCAGAAACAUCAGCUGCAAACGAAACUAAGUUUAAAACUUGAAACUUUAGUAUUGUGAUUAGUCAACACCAUAAUUUUAACUGUUUCCAUAAUGUAUCCUUACAAUAAUUUAAAGUUCAUUUUUAAAAUAAAUUUACAUUAAAAUUAUUAUGGUUUUUAUACCUUAAUCGGUAUAAAAAAUCAUGAUUAAGUUUUUUGGAAAUAUUUACAAAUGUUUUAAUUAAAAGACUAAAGUAGUAAUAUUUUCCUUACAAAUAGCUAAAACCUAACAGCGUUUUAAGGUUUCUUCCAAUAGUAGUCUAUUAAAGAACAUAUAACAGAGACGUGGAAUAAAAUCAGGAAAUUCCUAAUUCAUAGGUUGCAAGACCUUUUACAUUGAAAUAUCAUCAAAUAUUUUUUCAGUGUAGUUCACUUCUGAAGAAAGAGAUACGUAUAAUCUUUUCGUUAAUUAUAUACGAAAUGGCUUUAAAACUAAUUGUUACUACUAACUUCUUAAGUUUAAAAUAAAUACAAAGUCUUUCUAUAUUGGUAUAAAUUGUUCGCUGAGAUAUGCAAGACCUAAUUAAUAAAAGAUCAAAUCAGCAACGAGUAAAGACAUGAAUAAUAGAGUACUUUUUUGAUACUGGUAAUUUUAUGUGUUCUAAAAAUUCGAAUUUUAUUUUGAUAUGUGUUUUUAAAACUAUAAAUUAAGUAUCUAUUAUUGAAUGAGGCAUAAAAGAUAAUAAAUUAACUAUGUCAGUGCAUAUAAUCAAUUCAUCAUAAAUUGCUUAUUUAAUUAGUUAUACAUGCAAUAAUGAAACUUUGUUCCACCAGAGCUUUAGGGUUGAGGUUUAAAAGAUAACGACCGCUGGCGUUGUAGUUUUAAUGCCGUACACUUAAGAUAACUUUUUCCAAACGACAUUAUUAAACCUCUUCUGAAUUAUGAUUACCUAAACAAUUUAUUAUGAUACAGGCAAGAAUUUUUAUACUGACUAAGCGCUACAAUUGUUUCCAUUAAGAGUAAAAAAGCUUUUUAACUCCAAAAUUUUGUAUAAGCCUUCGUAUCAGUUUAAUAAUGUAACAUGCACGCCAAUUAUUAAAUAUGAACUAAUUUACAAAAUUUGGAUCGGUAGUAAAAAAAACUUAUAUGGAAUGGCUUUAUAAUUACUCGCAGACAAUAUUGUGGAAAGAGUAAAACGUUGUUUAGAACAAUUUUUACCUUCAAAUUUAAAUAUUAUGAAGAUAUAAAUUGUCAUUCAUGUAAUGACAUUAUAAAAACAAUAUUCGAAUAAAUAUUGUACAAAUAGUAAUUUUUAAAAAGCUAUUUGUUAAAAUUUUACAUAUUUUAAUAAAUGAUGAUAUUCGCAUAAAAACAUCAUGA